UACAGGGGGUGCAAACGUUGCUCGGAAUUACUGGGCGUAAAGUGUGCGCAGGCGGCAGAGCAAGUCGAGUGUGAAAGCCCCGGGCUUAACUUGGGAAUUGCGCUCGAAACUACUUUGCUGGAGUGUGGCAGAGGAAGGUGGAAUUCCACGUGUAGCGGUGAAAUGCGUAGAGAUGUGGAGGAACACCAAUGGCGAAGGCAGCCUUCUGGGCCAACACUGACGCUCAUGCACGAAAGCGUGGGGAGCAAACAGG
rnacentral:rRNA from 1 species